rnacentral:lncRNA from 1 species
AAACUCUACCUAUUAUUAAAUCUUCCUUCAGUAAGAUCCCUCCAGUGUUGUGAACACAACAAUAUAGAAGCUAGAAUAAGAGAAAAGGGUAAUUAGGGAAACUGCAAAAAAUAAUCACACCGCUACAUGAUCUUGGAGAGAACAAAUGUGAACACCACAUAGCGAGGAAACUCUCUUGAUGAAUAUAAUACUUAUUGUUUAAUAUUAAGAUGUCCUCGACAGCGGCGACGGCGGCACCUCCGGCUAGAAGAGGGUGGCACAACUCGGGGUGGGUGAGCUAUGGCAUCGAGCGAGUACAUGACUCUCCCGACUAUACUUACAUGUUCAACAGCACUCACUGUCAAACAAAUAUAUAUUAAGAUUUCAGGUCAUCAAUGCAUACAUGUAAUUCGAGAAAACAAACUCAUGAAAUAAACUGAUAAAAUGAUGGAUAAUAUAAAACUUAGACAAUUGCAGUUGUGAGGUAAUCAGGAAAAGAUGCAAGCAGGUCACAUACCAGGGCAGUGGCUGUAGACAACCUCCUAGGCUUCUUGUCCUAUCUUUUUUCCUCACAAGCUCCACAUAAUCACUUCACUGAACCAAGAAAUGAGAUCACCUAUU